AGGAUGAACGCUGGCGGCGUGCCUAACACAUGCAAGUCGAACGUGAGGGAAUAGCAAUAUUUCUGAAAGUGGCGCACGGGUGAGUAAGACGUAGGUAACCUGCCCUGGAGCGGGGAUAACAACUGGAAACGGUUGCUAACACCGCAUAUUGCCGAGUAUCGGAGAUACUUGGGUGAAACUCUGGUGCUUCAGGAGGGCCUACGGCCGAGUUAGCUAGUUGGCGGGUAAGCGCCCACGAAGGCGACGAUCGGUAGCUGGUCUGAGAGGACGAUCAGCCACACGGGAACUGAGACACGGUCCCGACUCCGUACGGGGGCAGCACGUGAGGAUAUGGGCAAGUGGCGCAAGCCUGACCAGCAACGCGCGUGGAGAUGAACGGUCCUUACGGGUCGUAAAC
rnacentral:rRNA from 1 species